rnacentral:snoRNA from 1 species
UAGAAGCUACGGCCAAUUAAGCCAACCAAGUUUCUUUCCUCAUGGGGCCCUGGUGUGCCAUGGCUGCAAACAGCAGCUUCCUUGUCAGGGUAUGCAGCCUGUUUCUUGGAUGGAUUGCUCUAAGGGACCUUGGAGACAGGC